AUUAUCACCACAACAAAGCAUUAUUAUUCUUACCAAUCCUAUUUGUAUCUGUUUUUAAGCGAUAUUUGAUCAAUUCAUAGCACUUUGUAAGAGUUUGCGUUUAUUGAGAUGUUCCAAUCGGGGAUGGAACCGGCGAAUUUCUAAUUUUUCUUCACUCCCCCCCCCCUUCCCCAGUCCCUUUUGCGUGAUUAAGGUGAUGGACUGCUAAUCCAUUGUGCUCUGCACGCGUGGGUUCCAAUCCCAUCCUCGUCGACAGUAAGUAUUUCUAUUGUGUCUAUGUAGUG